rnacentral:rRNA from 1 species
AUUGAACGCUGGCGGCAUGCCUUACACAUGCAAGUCGAACGGCAGCACGGGAGCAAUCCUGGUGGCGAGUGGCGAACGGGUGAGUAAUAUAUCGGAACGUGCCCAGUCGUGGGGAUAACGUAGCGAAAGCUACGCUAAUACCGCAUACGAUCUAUGGAUGAAAGCGGGGGAUCGCAAGACCUCGCGCGAUUGGAGCGGCCGAUAUCAGAUUAGGUAGUUGGUGAGGUAAAGGCUCACCGAGCCGACGAUCUGUAGCUGGUCUGAGAGGACGACCAGCCACACUGGGACUGAGACACGGCCCAGACUCCUACGGGAGGCAGCAGUGGGGAAUUUUGGACAAUGGGCGCAAGCCUGAUCCAGCAAUGCCGCGUGCAGGAUGAAGGCC